UACGAGUGCCCCAAGCGUUAUCCGGAAUCAUUGGGCGUAAAGGGUGUGUAGGUGGUCUUGUUAGUCUUCUGUUAAAUUCUUCGGCUUAACCGGGGGCAUACAGAGGAAACGGCAAGACUAGAGGAUGCGAGGGGUGAAUGGAACUCAUAGUGGAGGGGUGAAAUCCGUUGAUAUUAUGGGGAACACCAAAAGCGAAGGCAAUUCACUGGCGCAUUCCUGACACUGAAACACGAAAGCGUGGGUCGCGAAUGGG
rnacentral:rRNA from 1 species